GGCGAUGGUGUAUCGGAGGCCGGCGCCAUCUUUUAGGCGCCCGGCUGCCUACACUUGCUAAGAUUUGACCAGCUGAACUUGUCCAAAGAGUGCAUUAAUUCCAUUUUCCAAGACAUAGAAGAUUUUCAGUGACUAUGUGGACACACCAAGAAACCUUCUUUCGACACAUGGAAAUGUCAGCUUUGGAAAUAAUUUAACCCGAAUACUCAGGCUGCUGGAAUGGCUCUCCAUGUCGUUGCUGUAAUAUGGCUCACAAUUAUAAUUAAUGGAACAUCUUCGGAGUGAGCUAAGGCUGCAUGCACAUGGAAAAAUAUCUAAUGUGCUAAGCAUACAGAAACACGAACUAAGAAGUCCAUUUUUUUUUUUACAAGCAGAAGAGGGAGGCAAUUAGGGAGACACUUUUCAGCAAGAAAGAAAAAAAAAUAUCCGAAAAAUUUUAUGUUUCUGACACACUUUAAGAUGAGCCUCAGGCUCCAUUAAGGGUGUGGUAAUGAAGAGGGUUUGUGAGCCACAGGAUGGCUCCGUGGAAAGGUUUCUCCUUCUCAGGAAUCAAGACGAAUUAGCCUCAUUAUUUGCAGACACUUGACAAGAGCAGAGGAAAGC